rnacentral:rRNA from 1 species
UACGAAGGGGGCUAGCGUUGCUCGGAAUCACUGGGCGUAAAGGGCGCGUAGGCGGCCAAGUAAGUUGGGGGUGAAAGCCCGUGGCUCAACCACGGAAUUGCCUUCGAUACUGCUUGGCUUGAGACCGGAAGAGGUGAGUGGAACUGCGAGUGUAGAGGUGAAAUUCGUAGAUAUUCGCAAGAACACCAGUGGCGAAGGCGGCUCACUGGUCCGGAUCUGACGCUGAGGCGCGAAAGCCAGGGGAGCGAACGGG